rnacentral:tRNA from 1 species
CCGCCGGUAGCAUAGUGGUCAUCGCACCAGACCGGUAUUCUGGAGGUCGUGGGUUCGAUACCCCACCCGGCGGG